rnacentral:rRNA from 1 species
UGGGGAAUAUUGCACAAUGGGCGCAAGCCUGAUGCAGCGACGCCGCGUGAGUGAAGAAGUAUUUCGGUAUGUAAAGCUCUAUCAGCAGGGAAGAAAAUGACGGUACCUGACUAAGAAGCCCCGGCUAACUACGUGCCAGCAGCCGCGGUAAUACGUAGGGGGCAAGCGUUAUCCGGAUUUACUGGGUGUAAAGGGAGUGUAGGUGGCAUGGCAAGUCAGAAGUGAAAGCCCGGGGCUCAACCGCGGGACUGCUUUUGAAACUGUCAGGCUUGAGUGCAGGAGAGGUAAGCGGAAUUCCUAGUGUAGCGGUGAAAUGCGUAGAUAUUAGGAGGAACACCAGUGGCGAAGGCGGCUUACUGGACUGUAACUGACACUGAGGCUCGAAAGCGUGGGGAGCAAACAGG